AGUUUUCUCCUUCCUUCCCUUCAGCAAGUGAGUCAAAACACACCUGGGCAUAGAGAUUCAGGGGGACCCUUUAUCCAAAUGUCACAAGACAAUUUAGUAGGUAGGCACUGAUUUACACCGUGCCUUAAUACUAGUACCACUACUCUAUCAGUGCUACAUAAUUUACUACUACUGCUGCAGUCAUUCGUCACUUUGUCUCACCUUGUGUUGGGAUGUUGCAAAUACUGCAGGAUUCUACUUAGUGUCUGCUGCCUACUGUCAUGCUAUUGUAUCUGUGUACUUCUGUUAUGAGUCUUAGCUAACAUAAGUAAGAACUUCUCUGUACUUGGUACAUGUGACUGUAAAACUGAAUACUAACAGCUGUGAGGGAUCAAACUUUGUACUAAAGGGGUAUGAGCCAAACAUGCUAAGAAACAUCUUAUUGUUUCUUUUGCGCGUUACUCUGACUAACACUGUUCCCAAUAGCUUUGCUGCAUCCCUCCUGCAAUCUGUCCCUUUUUAUUUAAUUCCACUCUGAUUGGUCUUUGUGAAUUAAUUUCUCAGGCCAUUAGAUGUUGUAGGCCGCGGCCUGGGAGCUAUUCAUUCUCGGAUUGCUUUUUGGUCUGCUGACUUCCCACCCUGCAGGAAAAUGACUUCUGGUUCACCAUCACUAAAUUGAGAUCCUGCUGUAGUUGUACCCUGCAGUUCUCCCCUGUUAGCUCUGAUCCAGUGCCAGGAUUCUGCCACGUGAGACUGUGCUUUCUUGGUGGGGUGAACUGCUGGGCUGGCAUCUUGUCCGGGGUGCACCCUGGUCUUGUGUUCUGUGCUGCCUGGGGUGAGAUCCAGCCGCCCCCUCUGACCUCAACCAGGAUGAGUUGUUAGAAGAUAGAUGGAUCAGUGGAGUCUGCCAUUGGCUCUGUUUCAGGAAAUUCAGCUGCAUUUUUUUCAGAAAUAUCUUCCAGCUGGCAUCUGUACAGUGAAUUCUUUCCUGUCUAAUGCUUAAUUGCGGUAAAGUUCCCAUUUGUCAGAUGCACGGAUUGAGUAAUGAAAUUGUGCAGUUAUGUGUAAAUAAAACUAGUGUGAGACCAAAACCAUAUAAUUAUGUAACUUGGAAAUUGAACCAUUAACUUUCAUUUAGCGUUUUCUGCAGUGCUAUACUUUCUUGAAGGCAGCAAAGUGUUUUCCUAUCUGGCUGCUUACGUGGAUAAAUGAACAGGAACUAUGAGGGUUAAGUAUUUUGCUUUAGGUUACUACAGAGGGUCCCCACCAGGGACUUUGAUAUGCUGUUAGUCACUGUUAUUCCUGCAUAAAUUUAGCAUCUGCACGUCCCUUCCACUCCCACGGAUUCUCAUCCUCUGGGAGGUCAUCGCUCCCUUUGGUCCCACUGAACUCAUGAACGAAGUCCCUGUAGGUGCCCAGCGUUUCGUUAAGAGCUUACAGCCGGCCUUGUUUUUCUCCCCCUCAGUCAAAUAAGUCCAUACUGAGGCAUGUUGGUAGUUUAGUGGUAGUCUCACUUUUGGCAGUAUUUAGAUGAAGUUCAAUUUUAAUGAUCGCUGUUACAUCACUGCUAAAAAUGUGCAAUUCCUGGGACCAGAAUUCUACUGGGAGUUGGGGUCGGAGUUAUUAGUGACUGAUUUUAAGUGGUUGGUUGGCGACAGCAAUAAACAAAUAACGCGGAUGAGUGGAGGAAACGGAAGAUACAAAAUGGGAAGUUACUGGCGGAUCUAUCUGUAUGAUGUGUCACAAGAAAUAUAGGCAAUUAAAGUGGAUUUAAGAAGACGCACUAUGGGAGCCUUCUGCACGUUUGCCUGGCAUUUCUGGCUCUGCGUGGCUGGGCUGUUGUCAUGGCAGCUGGGGUACUGAGAACUGGUUUAAUGGGAUUCUCCCACUCCUGAGAAUGUGAGAAGGCUGUUCUGGUACGGAUCGGGUUCUGGGCUGUGGUGUACCUGUGCCCCUUCAGUAUUAAAUCCUGCAUUCUCAUUACUGCAUCAUCGUGAUGUUGUUCAAAAACUCUUUAAUUAUGAUUUCAUUCAGUCAUUUAAUUUCCAUACCUGCUUGUCCUAUGCAGGGUCUCCGGUGUCCAGAUCCUAUCCUGGAAACAACAGGCGCCAGGCAGGGAAUAACCCAAGACAAGGCGCACACACCAUCCACUAACACCCACACUCACAGACGAUUAGACAGCGGCCUUCAUUAUGAUUUAUAUCAGUUAUUCUUAUGUUAUGGAGAUGCUGGUAGCUUGGAGGUUAGGUGCUUAUGCUUUUCUUGAUUUUUUUCAGUUAAAAAUGUUUAUUCCUUGAUUGUUGUGCUUCACUAGCAGAGUUUCUGCAUGACUGAAGUACCUUUAACUUUUACUUCCUAUCCCAUAGCAUAGAAGGACUUCAGUCACCAUAACCCUGGAGAAUCCAAAUGCUUCCCCUGCCUGCAUUCAGAACACUUGUGCAAUUACACAUCUCUCCGACCUAAUGAAGUUCAGAUCUCUUAGAACCGCUCUAUGAUUCAUUCUAAUUAAGCCCGAAACGUUUGGAGAAGCAAGGUCUUUAAAUAGUCUAGCAGUAGAUAGGCCUUCAUCCGCCUGUUGGCAUUCAUCAUAGUUCACAUACCACAAAGGCUAUUGCAGAAUCUCACAUUAUAUAACCCUGGAAACCAAGCUUAGCCCUAAAUGGUCAAUGUCAUAUCGGGGCUUUAGCUUCCUUUGUUCCUUGCACUCAGAUUAUAGAAAAAAAAAACUAUAGCAACACUACAAACACUUCACCAACCCUGAAUUUCGAAUGAACAGUUACCAGCAAGUUCUGAGUGUUUCUUCCUGUUCAUGUAAUUAGCACGUGACCAUAGCAUGCCUUCAUGGUUAGCGCUUCGCUUCAUUCGGCAGAUUCAGUUAGGAUGUAAGGACUGUUCAGGGGAAUCAUCUGUGCUUCUGAAUCAGUUUAUUCCUCUGUAUGUGUGUGUUGUGUGUGCAGUUCCUUAUGUGUUCCUUAUGUGAGCUUGUGAAUGUUUACUUGCCGUUCAUGCUCAGAGUUCCACGUCAUUGCACUGAGAACCUCCUGGUUAGCAGAGACUUAGCCUGCGGCCUGGUGUAUCAUCAGAGCCCCCCACUUCAGAUUACCUCCUGGGCUGGCAGAGUACAGCCGGCAUACUCCUGGAAUGGAAUGCGUAUGUAAUGCUGUUUCUAUCACAUUACCUCCUACCGCAUCUCAACCCCCAGCAACAAGUCCCCUUCACUGCUCCCUGGUCUCUACACUAUUCUUUGUCUAGAAAAAUAAAAUGAAUAUUUUGGCCUAGCCCAGUCUCCUCUUCAGAAUUUGAUGGUUCUAGCCCAGUCUCCUCUUCAGAAUU